AGAGUUUGAUCCUGGCUCAGGAUGAACGCUGGCGGUAUGCCUAACACAUGCAAGUCGAACGGACUCUUCGGAGUUAGUGGCGGACGGGCGAGUAACGCGUGAGAAUCUGGCUUCAGGUCGGGGACAACAGUUGGAAACGACUGCUAAUACCGGAUGUGCCGAGAGGUGAAAGAUUUAUUGCCUGAAGAUGAGCUCGCGUCUGAUUAGCUAGUUGGUAGUGUAAGGGACUACCAAGGCGACGAUCAGUAGCUGGUUUGAGAGGAUGAUCAGCCACACUGGGACUGAGACACGGCCCAGACUCCUACGGGAGGCAGCAGUGGGGAAUUUUCCGCAAUGGGCGAAAGCCUGACGGAGCAAUACCGCGUGAGGGAGGAAGGCUCUUGGGUCGCAAACCUCUUUUCUCAAGGAAGAACACAAUGACGGUACUUGAGGAAUAAGCAUCGGCUAACUCCGUGCCAGCAGCCGCGGUAAUACGGAGGAUGCAAGCGUUAUCCGGAAUGAUUGGGCGUAAAGGGUCCGCAGGUGGAACUGAAAGUCUGCUGUUAAAGAAUCUGGCUCAACCAGAUAAAAGCAGUGGAAACUACAGAACUAGAGUAUGGUGGGGGUAGAAGGAAUUCCUAGUGUAGCGGUGAAAUGCGUAGAUAUUAGGAAGAACACCGGUGGCGAAAGCGUUCUACUAGACCAAGACUGACACUGAGGGACGAAAGCUAGGGGAGCGAAUGGGAUUAGAUACCCCAGUAGUCCUAGCCGUAGACGAUGGAUACUAGGCGUGGCUUGUAUCGACCCGAGCCGUGCCGGAGCCAACGCGUUAAGUAUCCCGCCUGGGGAGUACGCACGCAAGUGUGAAACUCAAAGGAAUUGACGGGGGCCCGCACAAGCGGUGGAGUAUGUGGUUUAAUUCGAUGCAACGCGGAGAACCUACCAAGGCUUGACAUCCUGCGAAUCCCGGUGAAAGCUGGGAGUGCCUUAGGGAGCGCAGAGACAGGUGGUGCAUGGCUGACGUCAGCUCGUGUCGUGAGAUGUUGGGUUAAGUCCCGCAACGAGCGCAACCCUCGUUUUUAGUUGCCAGCAUUAAGUUGGGCACUCUAGAGAGACCGCCGGUGACAAACCGGAGGAAGGUGAGGAUGACGUCAAGUCAGCAUGCCCCUUACGCCUUGGGCUACACACGUACUACAAUGCUACGGACAAAGGGCAGCUACACAGCGAUGUGAUGCAUAUCUCAGAAACCGUAGCUCAGUUCAGAUCGAAGGCUGCAACUCGCCUUCGUGAAGGAGGAAUCGCUAGUAAUUGCAGGUCAGCAUACUGCAGUGAAUUCGUUCCCGGGCCUUGUACACACCGCCCGUCACACCAUGGAAGUUGGUCACGCCCGAAGUCAUUACCCCAACCGCAAGGAGGGGGAUGCCGAAGGUAGGACUGGUGACUGGGGUGAAGUCGUAACAAGGUA
rnacentral:rRNA from 1 species